AAGGCUUUAAGUUAAAAAAACUAAUAGCCUUCAAAGCUGCAAAUAAAAUGGGAUUUUAAGCCUUA
rnacentral:tRNA from 1 species